UACGAAGGGGGGCUAGCGUUGCUCGGAAUUACUGGGCGUAAAGGGAGCGUAGGCGGACAUUUAAGUCAGGGGUGAAAUCCCAGAGCUCAACUCUGGAACUGCCUUUGAUACUGGGUGUCUUGAGUGUGAUAGAGGUAUGUGGAACUCCGAGUGUAGAGGUGAAAUUCGUAGAUAUUCGGAAAGAACACCAGUGGCAGAGGCACAUACUGGAUCAUUACUGACGCUGAGGC
rnacentral:rRNA from 1 species